rnacentral:rRNA from 1 species
ACUCCUACGGGAGGCAGCAGUGAGGAAUUUUGCGCAAUGGGCGAAAGCCUGACGCAGCGACGCCGCGUGGAGGAUGAAGUCUUUCGAGAUGUAAACUUCUGUCAGUAGGGAUGAUAAUGACAGUACCUACAGAGGAAGCACCGGCUAACUCCGUGCCAGCAGCCGCGGUAAUACGGAGGGUGCAAGCGUUGUUCGGUAAUUACGUGGGACGUAAAGCGUACGUAGGCGGCGAGUUAAGUCGAAUGUUAAAGCCCGGGGCUCAACCCCGUGGAUGCCUUCGAUACUGGCUUGCUAGAGGUGAUAGAGGAAAGUGGAAUUCCGAGUGUAGCGGUGAAAUGCGUAGAUAUUCGGAGGAACAUCAGUAGCGAAGGCGACUUUCUGGGUCACACCGUGACGCUGAGGUACGAAAGCGUGGGUAGCAAACAGGAUUAGAUACCCUGGUAGCGACUGA